AGCGAGGCCCCGUCUUCGGGCGGGUGUUCUAGCGGCGAACGGGUGAGUAACACGUGGGCAACCUGCCCUCAGCUCUGGGAUAACUCCAAGAAAUUGGGGCUAAUACCGGAUAUGACUGCUGGCCGCAUGGUCUGGUGGUGGAAAGAUUUAUCGGCUGGGGAUGGGCCCGCGGCCUAUCAGCUUGUUGGUGGGGUAGUGGCCUACCAAGGCGACGACGAGUAGCCGGCCUGAGAGGGUGACCGGCCACACUGGGACUGAGACACGGCCCAGACUCCUACGGGAGGCAGCAGUGGGGAAUAUUGCGCAAUGGGCGGAAGCCUGACGCAGCGACGCCGCGUGGGGGAUGACGGCCUUCGGGUUGUAAACCUCUUUCAGCAGGGACGAAGCGGAAGUGACGGUACCUGCAGAAGAAGCACCGGCCAACUACGUGCCAGCAGCCGCGGUAAUACGUAGGGUGCAAGCGUUGUCCGGAAUUAUUGGGCGUAAAGAGCUCGUAGGCGGUUUGUUGCGUCGGCUGUGAAAUCCCGAGGCUCAACCUCGGGUCUGCAGUCGAUACGAACAAACUAGAGUGUUGCAGGGGAGACUGGAAUUCCUGGUGUAGCGGUGAAAUGCGCAGAUAUCAGGAGGAACACCGGUGGCGAAGGC
rnacentral:rRNA from 1 species